UCCUUCAACGCCAGGUGCAGCCGAAUAAUAAAGAAAUAAAGAUUCCUAUUUCGCAGAAAUUCAGUUAACGCAGUACAGUCUGGAACGGAUUAACCGCAAAAAACGAGGGACGACUGUAUGGACGAUAUGCUGAUUUGUUCCCCAGGCCUAGCUGAACACCAUGACCAUGUUUAAACAGGUCUACAGCAACACCAACUAUAUGCAAACGCCGAGAAGUGUGAGUUCCAUAAAUCCACUACAGUAGAGCCUUGGAACUCGAACACCGCUUAACUCGACCAACCUAGACGUUAAACGGGUCUGUUUAAUUUUUUUCGAACCUCGACUGAAAUCUUGGAACUCGACUGUUCCUGCUAAAAGUUGUAUGGGUCGAGACACGUUCAGCUCUACCAAUUCCGACCGCGAAUGGGUUUGUUGAGAAAAAUCUAGCCACUACUUGACCGAAAACUCAGAACAUGACAAAACAAAACAGACCUGCUAAAACUCCUCCAUCCCUCCUCCUCUCCACCUGCCCUUUCCAGUGUGCCAUCAGCUGUUCAUAAGUUGUCAUAAUUUUCAUGUUUAUUGCUUUUGUAUGUAUUUUAAAUGUGCAUGUUGGUUUUAUAUUGAUUGUCAAAGCUUUUUAUAGGUAGGUAGAUAGGUUUAAACAGCGAUAAUUUUGGGGUCUGGAACGGAUUAAAUUCAUUUACAUUAUUUCUCAUAGGGAAAUUUGACUUGGACCUCGACCAAAUCGCAACUCAACCAGCCUUCUGGAACAAAUUAAGUUUUUAUUUGCAUUUCUUUUCUAAGGUAUCUGUUGCACAGGGGGUACAGAUGGACAUAUACAGCAAAAGGUUAGAGCUUCCUAUGCCUGUGACAGUAAAGAAGAUGCAGCAUUACUUGGAUUUUGCAAAUUUUUAUCAGUGCUUCAUCUGCAGCUUCAGCUGGGUAGCUGCCCCCCUUACAACAAUGACUAGGUGACAACCAAUGUUGCUAACGUGAUCUGAGACGGCUCGUUCUGCAUUCUCCCGACUUAAGGAUUUAUGCACUACAGCGUCUCUGCUCCUGUACAGUAGCCCAACCCAGAGCUGCUGCUUACUGAGGAAGUAGAUGUAUCUGAGGUAGAUAGCAGGACGGUUCUGUCUCAGUGGCAGAGGAAUCCUGUUAAGCUUCACCCAUGUCCCUAUUUUUCAGACAAACUCUCCUCAUGAUAUAGUGAGUGGAGUUGCUAGCACUGGAGAAAUUGAGGUAUUAGCUUGAGGUUGCUACUCACCAAUGUGUAGUGCUUACCGAUCACAAGAACCUUGAAUAUAUUAAAGGGCCAAAAUUGCUCAGUCAUAGACAGGCCAGAUUGCUCUCUGCUUUACCUCAUUUCAGUUUACAGUCACCUAUCAUCCUGGGCCCAAGAAUGCAAAGGUCUACCAGAGAGUCUACCAGUGCACUGUCAUGGUAAUUCGCAGCUCCUGAGCAGGACCCAAGCCCUGACACCAUUCUCUCUCCAUGCUCUCUAUUCAGGUGGUCCACGUGUCAACAGGAGCCAUGAACUCAUAUCCAGGAAAUCUUGGUCGACUAUAGUGGAUGACGUUCGUGAUUAUGUUCUGUCCUGCCCAGUAUGUGCCCAAACAAAGAUUCCAAGGCAACGACCAUCAGGUUACCAAGCCCCCACUCUAUGCUUGGGAGAUCGAACCAACCAACAGAGAAGGGGUUUCGGUAGAGCGGACAAUUCUGGAGGACUGCCCACGUGCAACUUCAAUGCGACAUAAAGACACAGAAGAAAUUUGCUGACUGCCACUGCCAUUCCAUGUGUGGCUCUCCACCAAGGAUAUUAAGCCCAGUUCCCAGUACAUUGGUCCCUUCAGGAUUUUGUGGUGCAUAAUCCCAGUAACUUUCCCUCUGCAGCUACCUGCCAGGUACCAGAUUUCAGAGGUGGUGACUUGAGUCACUGACUUGCGACUCGACUCAGACUCAAGUCAUUAAUUUGAGGGCAACAAACAGACUUGGACCCUAUGACUCAACGAGAUGCUAUUCAUUAAACCUAACAGCUUGAUCCCUUCUGGAUAAUGUAAUGUUAAUUUUAUAAUUUCUGUGUAUAUUAAUUCUCUGCUGUCUGCCUCUUCAAUUGGCUGAAUGCAAGGUCUCCUGAGAUAGUUUGUUGGAAAGAUGUGUCACUCCCUGCAUGUACACGGAUAUAAACACUGUGUGAGGACAACUGUGAGUGGAGACUAUGAAGUACUGAGGUAGUUUUUGCUGCAACAAGAUUUAAUCACUAAAGGACAUAGGUAGGGACACAAGUUACAUAACUCACACCUCAACUUGGACUCAAGUCACAAAUUUGAUGACUGGUCACAAAUGACGGAAAGACUUGGACUCAACUUAGACUUAAGGGCAAAUGACUUGAGACUUGACUUGGACUGCAAUGUUUUGACUCGCCAAGUAAUGACUUGUUCUCAUCACUGCCAGAUUGACCCUACAUUCCAUGUGUCCUCUAAAGCUGUAGAUGUCAGUGGUGAACCUGGCUACUCUGUCCAUGUCUUGUGGGCAGCUGUAAAAUUUAAUGGACUGUGUGGGCUAUGACCCUGAGGAGAAAUCUUGGCCUCCAGCAGGGGAUAUCCUGGACCCCUCACUCAUAACCGAUUUUUACUGGGACAACCCAGACCACAGAAUUCUGGCUGUCCACUACAAUGGAGCACCAAGGCAUCAGGAGCCACGCAUGGAGAAGGGGUUACAAUCAGGUGUCAGACUCCAGGAGUCAAGCCAGAUCUUCCAUAUAACCUUCUGCUCUGUCCGGAUCACCUCCCUGUGUUAAGUAAAAAUCACCUGGUUGCUAUUUCCUGUCUCACUAAUUAUUUACCAGUCAUUUUCAGGACCUCAUUGUAUUGUAAGGUCCAUUCUAUAGUGACCAUUUUCCUAGUGAAUUUGUGUUACUCAUGUUAUUAGACUCUUUACCUGAUUACUUGACAUUAAACCUUUGGAUUUUGA